rnacentral:misc_RNA from 1 species
CACGAUCCUUGGCGUCAAUGUCUCAACAAGACGCGGACCGGUCUCGGUUCGAGUCAUGGCUUCUUCCUUUGGGUCCAGGCUCGAAGAGACUGUCAAGAAGACCGUGGUUGAGAACCCAGUCGUUGUUUACUCCAAAACUUGGUGCUCGUAUUCCUCUGAGGUGAAAACUUUGUUCAAGAAGCUCGGUGCGGAGCCAUUGGUUAUUGAAUUAGACGAAAUGGGUCCCCAAGGACCCCAGUUACAGAAG